GACAGAGGUGCCGAGCGAUAGGCGGAAUCACUGGGCUUAAAGCGUGUGUAGGCGGAUCGUUAAGUACCUUGUGAAAUCCCACGGCUCAACCGUGGAACUGCUGGGUAUACUGGCGGUCUUGAGCCACCUAGGGGCGAGCGGAACAAGCGGUGGAGCGGUGAAAUGCGUAGAUAUCGCUUGGAACGCCAACGGUGAAAACAGCUCGCUGGGGGUGUGCUGACGCUGAGACACGAAAGCCAGGGGAGCGAACGGG
rnacentral:rRNA from 1 species